UGGGGAAUUUUGCACAAUGGGGGAAACCCCGAUGCAGCGACGCCGCGUGAUUUAGAAGGCCUUCGGGUUGUAAAAAUCUUUUUUAUGGGAUGAAAAUGACAGUACCAUAAGAAUAAGGUCCGGCUAAAUACGUGCCAGCAGCCGCGGUAAUACGUAAGGUCCGAGCGUUGUCCGGAAUCAUUGGGCGUAAAGGGUACGUAGGCGGAUAAGCAAGUUAGAAGUGAAAUCCUAUAGCUCAACUAUAGUAAGCUUUUAAAACUGCUCAUCUUGAGGUAUGGAAGGGAAAGUGGAAUUCCUAGUGUAGCGGUGAAAUGCGCAGAUAUUAGGAGGAAUACCGGUGGCGAAGGCGACUUUCUGGCCAUAUACUGACGCUGGGGUACGAAAGCGUGGGUAGCAAACAGG
rnacentral:rRNA from 1 species